UACCUUGCACCGCCAAAGGCCGUUAGAUGAACUUACUUAGAUUUAAGUAUCUCACUUUUCCAGCCUUCGCUGUCCACUUCAAUAACAACUGGACGGGACAGGUCGCAUUAGCGAAGUCGCACUAACACGACGCAAUAAAGAGUAACACGACGCAAUAAAGAGUAAUACGACGCAAUAAAGAGUAACAAGACGUAAUAAAGGUGACUUGACUUGGUGUGGUUUAUGAUAGGGCAUUGAACAGCCACAUUUUCCAGAUUUUCAUGUCCAAAAGCAAGCAAAGAUGUGAGGACUAUUUUCCUUAUCAAUUGAGAAUUUUAACUGAAUUCUGAUUAAAAGUAAUUGAUUUCUGGUGCUUUUCGUUCAAUGAAAUUCUACCCCUUAAGUUAUAUUCUGCUAAUCAUUUCCAUCAUUACGCAGACGACACAUUCCCAAGAUGAAUUUCUUGUUAAUCAAAUGAUCGGAGCAGGGUACCAGUUAACGGAUGCUGAGAUCGCCUAUCUUCUCAGGUUGUCGUGUGAUAAUGGGAGGAGGAAGUCAUGUCGGGAGGCGGAUGAUUGGCUUUUGCUUUUACCGUUCUUGGCCAUUUUCGCCGCACCCAUCGCAGCCACAACUUCCCAGCUGAUGUCCAACGUCAUUGAUAACAUCGUUGCACCUGUCAUUAAUCCUAUAAUUAACCCACCACCGAUUAUCUCCUGAGAAAGAGGAUUGAAUUGAUAUAAAUAAAAUAAACGAAUCAUCAAAGUAGUGAGAUUUUUAAAAAAAUUAAAUUGCAGUUUCUAUCAUCGCAUGCUAGAGUUUCCAUCCAUUUUUGAAAUUUCAAUUCAUGCUCAGUAGUUAUUUGUUUUGAUCUUUGAACCAGGGACCGCUUGACUUUGUAGGGAGCAAUCUGGACCAAAUACCCUUUUUAACAGUUUCACGAUUCAUGGUAAUGUUACCUCUAUAUACAUUUGAUUCAGAUCAUUAUUGAAAUCGUUCGUUCUCGUUUUAUACUUUCACAGUGAAAAUAUCAUGAACAAACCCUUUGCUUAUAAAAUAAAUCGUGAAUUCAUUGAAUGCUGAUGACAUUCGGAAAAUAACCUAGAGCGAAUUGGACGAUUUUAUGGUCAAAUAAAGAAUAAACAGACGGAACAUUGGUGAUCUCUGGGAUAAAUCGCUAGAUAUAUAUAUGACCACGUAUGAUGUGUUACUUAAACGUUAGUUACACUGGGGAUUCAAAGUGCAAAACGAAGUUCAUCUCAAUUUUUUAACGUUGUCAAUCUAUUUCCAUAGUAAAUUUGGUUUCUAGCAACAAAUUUUCUAUAUACGGCGCGGAUCUAAAAAGUCUGAUUUUAAUUAGAUUGGACUUAACGUGUGCAUAUAUUUUUCUGGGCGUACGUUAUUAGGCAGAUUUUUGCAUUAGAAAUAGAUCUCACAAGAACAUGUGUACGUUAUUGGUCUCUGGGAUAUCAAAUGCAUGUUGAACACUUGUAAUAUUUACACGUGCUAUUCACAUCCACAAAUUCUUUGAUGACACUUGCUACAAAGAAAGUUUUUUUUAAAGGAUGGAAAUGAAAACUUGUUUUUAUUUAAGAAAUAAUGAAAAACAUGCUGGCGUGAAGAGUUGUUGUUCAUAAUAACAUGUAUUUUCAAAACUGGAAUUAUUUUUUUAUAUUUAUAUUUUACUUCUGUCGUAAUAUUCCCAGCCGUUAAAAUAGUUGUCCUAUAAUUAUCAACAUUCAUAUGCACAUUGUUCACAUUCAUGAGGAAAUGGCUAUUACUUCAAUUGGUAAACCACUGAAGGCAAAAAUAUUGAAAAUGUAAAGAUAUGUGAAAUGGAUAUACUAGUAAUUUACUUUAUGGAAUGUAAUUUACUCCCAUGAUUUCCAGGUGGCUC